CUUUUAACGAGAGUUUGAUCCUGGCUCAGGAUGAACGCUGGCGGCGUGCUUAACACAUGCAAGUCGAGCGAAGCGCUUUACUUUGAUUUCUUCGGAUUGAAAAGUGUUGCGACUGAGCGGCGG
rnacentral:rRNA from 1 species